GACGUAGGGCGCGAGCGUUGUCCGGAUUUAUUGGGCGUAAAGAGCUCGUAGGCGGCUCGUUGCGUCGGCUGUGAAAACCCGCAGCUCAACUGUGGGCUUGCAGCUGAUACGGGCGGGCUGGAGUUCGGUAGGGGAGACUGGAAUUCCUGGUGUAGCGGUGAAAUGCGCAGAUAUCAGGAGGAACACCGGUGGCGAAGGCGGGUCUCUGGGCCGAUAUUGACGCUGAGGAGCGAAAGCGUGGGGAGCAAACAGG
rnacentral:rRNA from 1 species